GAUGAACGCUGGCGGCAGGCUUAACACAUGCAAGUCGAACGGGCACUUCGGUGCUAGUGGCAGACGGGUGAGUAACGCGUGGGAACGUGCCUUUCGGUUCGGAAUAAUCCAGGGAAACUUGGACUAAUACCGGAUACGCCCUUCGGGGGAAAGAUUUAUCGCCGAAAGAUCGGCCCGCGUCUGAUUAGCUAGUUGGUGAGGUAAAGGCUCACCAAGGCGACAAUCAGUAGCUGGUCUGAGAGGAUGAUCAGCCACACUGGGACUGAGACACGGCCCAGACUCCUACGGGAGGCAGCAGUGGGGAAUAUUGGACAAUGGGCGAAAGCCUGAUCCAGCCAUGCCGCGUGAGUGAUGAAGGCCUUAGGGUUGUAAAGCUCUUUUGUCCGGGAAGAUAAUGACUGUACCGGAAGAAUAAGCCCCGGCUAACUUCGUGCCAGCAGCCGCGGUAA
rnacentral:rRNA from 1 species